rnacentral:rRNA from 1 species
CUAGCCGUAAACGAUGGAUACUAGGCGUUGAGAGGAUCGACCCUCGCAGUGCCGUAGCUAACGCGUUAAGUAUCCCGCCUGGGGAGUACGCGCGCAAGCGUGAAACUCAAAGGAAUUGACGGGGGCCCGCACAGGCGGUGGAGUAUGUGGUUUAAUUCGAUGCAACGCGAAGAGCCUUACCAGGGCUUGACAUGUCCGGAACCCUGCCCAAAGGUGGGGGUGCCUACGGGAGCCGGAACACAGGUGGUGC